ACCCUCUUCCUCUUGGGUGAGAGAGAAGGAAUUGAGGGUAUGAGAAUUGAAUACCUUCCUUCUGCCAGGGUGGUUGCUUUUAGGAAAAGAUGCCUUCCAAGUCUGCUCUGUUCCACUCUGUUUGACAAGGAAGCAGACUGAGAACCACACUGAAGAGAAGCUGAUCAGCUCCUGCUGUCCUGAGCCUGGAAUUCAACCCAGCCUCUCCUUGAAAGGAAGAGAGCCAGCAUUUAAAUACACAGACUGAAUAAAUGUGUCAAAUAAACGUGUCAGUCUUGGUAAUAUGGCAAACAAGAGUGAGAAGUAGAGAAGUAUCCAGAUUAUGAAACUGGGAAAAGUGCCAUUUCCUGAGUGAAACAAAACCCAGGAUAGUUACCAACAAAGUCCAUAUCCAGGAAAUUGAGGAGACUUUAUGGCUGUGGCAAGUCCCUGAACUUUCAUGGCAUUUUCCUCCCACCUGCUCAAUAUUCUGUGAGGAAGAAAACAGUCAAAAUACUAUGAACUAUAUUUCAACAAGAGAGUUAUUAUAAUCUUGACUCAGGAAAGUGUUGGUAUAAUGCUCUCCUUUCAACCGAAGGGAAAGUGCUUGGGACUAUCUUUGUUACUAAAAAUGGAAAAAAAAUAUUUACUGGGCAUUUAGAUAUGCUGUGCUGGCUGAUGUACUCCAGUAAGGAUACUGAAUAUCACCACCUAAUAAUCUACAGAUAUUAUGCCAGUAACUCUACAGAGGAAAGGGCCCCUCAGUGUGUUCAUUGUAAGCCUAGAACCACUGUGAGAUGGGCUCAGGACAAGAUUCUGUAUGC